UCAUUGGCCCCGUUCCCUCCCAGCACCGCCCUCAUUGGCCGCCUUUCACUCUCACGGAGGCGGGGCCCAAAGUCGCUGGAGUUUUGCUCCCGGGACGGGACGUCCGAGAGGUGAGAGGCUGACGUCGAGGUGACGCGCCAACUUAAUCGCAUCUGACGUCACGUCUGGUCGUCUUGGAUCGCUGGCUGCGAUUGGCCAGGCUUGCCUGGGGGAUCCCCUGCUAAUUGGGUGUCCAGGUUGCCUGUUCUGACUACCUGGAGUCUGAGCCCCGGCGCUGUGGGGGGUAGUAGUGGAGAGUCGGGAGAGUAGGGGAGAGCCUCUUCCUACGCUGGUGGUCCUCAGAGAGGAGGACCCCCGCCUCACAUGUGUGGCCAAGUAAGGACUUCAUUCCCCCGACGGCUGCAGAAGCUUGUGGAGCUGAGUGUGUGCGUGUGAGGGAAGACGCAGUAGGUGGAGUCACUGGAGAGCUUCUCCUCAAAACUCAGUUUAGCGCUGUUGUGGAGCAGAUGGAAUGGAGGAGGACCUUUUUCUUCGUCCUUUCGCCUUAAACUUGACAUUAGAGAGUCGACCCUGGGCUUUCGGAGUUGUACUGGAUUGUGUGGAGCAUCUUAAGUUCCACACCAAGCCUAAGGCUGAAACGCCUUUGGUGGGCGUAGUAUUAUAGAGAAUUGAACUUCAAGGUCUUGCCCACGCCAUGCCCGCUUGUGAUCCCAGAGGAACAUAUUCCGUUCCACGGGGGUUCGCCAGAGGGGCAGGGUUGUGCCUUUGUAUAGGACGUGGAGAGGCACUCUUGGUUGGCGUGGUAUCUCCUUUCAAAGGACCGUAGAAGAGUAGAACUGGCCUUGACCUAAAUUAAAAGAGACAUCGCCACUCUCGUUCUCCGGCUCUGUUUGAGUGAGAAUUGUCUCUAGAAUGCAGCAAACCAUGAGCUUGGCAGUUUGAAGUGCACUAAAGCAAUGAGGAGCAAGGGUAAAGGACAUAGCUUCUCAUUGUUCUACUGCUUGGAGCAGCUUUUCAGUCAGUAACCUGACCAAGACAAUUGAUGUGAGCUCAAGAACAAAGGUGUGGUUGAAGUCUUUGGAGAAGGACUGAGGUGUUAUCUAAAAAUGAAGCUUGUAGAUGUUGAUAUUUUUAUAAGAAUCAAAUACCCUGCCCCAAGUGGAACUCAUCCCCCCAGCAAGGGAUUUUAUCUGUUUAAAUAUUUAGACGAGCAUUCUGUUGAAUCCCUAAUUUUUAUAUUACAUGGAGAGAAGACAAAUUCCAUUGAUAAGGCUAUUUCAUUCAAUAGUUACCUGCUUCUACUAUAAAACUUUAAUAUGGAUCGUGUACAGUGUUUUGAUUUGAGCUGGUCU
rnacentral:lncRNA from 1 species